rnacentral:tRNA from 1 species
AGAGGCAUGGCUCACACGGAGAGUACUUGCCUAGCAAGCAAGAAGCCUGAGUUCAAGCCUUAGUACUGCAA